GAUGAACGCUAGCGAUAGGCUUAACACAUGCAAGUCGAGGGGCAGCGAGAUGUAGCAAUACGUCGUCGGCGACCGGCGAAUGGGUGAGUAACACGUAUGCAACUUACCUCUUAGUGGUGAAUAACCCGAUGAAAGUCGGACUAAUACACCAUAUACUCCUUAGAUCCCAUGAGAAGAGGAGGAAAGAUUAAUCGCUAAGAGAUGGGCCUGCGUUCCAUUAGCUAGUUGGUAAGGUAACGGCUUACCAAGGCAACGAUGGAUAGGGGGACUGAGAGGUUGACCCCCCACAUUGACACUGAGAUACGGGUCAAACUCCUACGGGAGGCAGCAGUGAGGAAUAUUGGUCAAUGGGCGAGAGCCUGAACCAGCCAAGUCGCGUGAAGGAAGACUGCCCGCAAGGGUUGUAAACUUCUUUUGUAUGGGAUUAAAGUCACCUACGUGUAGGUGUUUGCAGUUACCAUACGAAUAAGCAUCGGCUAACUCCGUGCCAGCAGCCGCGGUAAUACGGAGGAUGCGAGCGUUAUCCGGAAUUAUUGGGUUUAAAGGGUGCGUAGGUUGCAAGGGAAGUCAGGGGUGAAAAGCUGUAGCUCAACUAUGGUCUUGCCUUUGAAACUCUCUAGCUAGAGUGUACUGGAGGUACGUGGAACGUGUGGUGUAGCGGUGAAAUGCAUAGAUAUCACACAGAACUCCGAUUGCGCAGGCAGCGUACUACAUUACAACUGACACUGAAGCACGAAAGCGUGGGUAUCCAACAGG
rnacentral:rRNA from 1 species